GACGAACGCUGGCGGCGUGCUUAACACAUGCAAGUCGAACGGAAAGGCCCUGCUUUUGUGGGGUGCUCGAGUGGCGAACGGGUGAGUAACACGUGAGUAACCUGCCCUUGACUUUGGGAUAACUUCAGGAAACUGGGGCUAAUACCGGAUAGGAGCUCCUGCUGCAUGGUGGGGGUUGGAAAGUUUCGGCGGUUGGGGAUGGACUCGCGGCCUAUCAGCUUGUUGGUGGGGUAGUGGCUUACCAAGGCUUUGACGGGUAGCCGGCCUGAGAGGGUGACCGGCCACAUUGGGACUGAGAUACGGCCCAGACUCGUACGGGAGGCAGCAGUGGGGAAUAUUGCACAAUGGGCGGAAGCCUGAUGCAGCAACGCCGCGUGCGGGAUGACGGCCUUCGGGCUGUAAACCGCUUUCGCCUGUGACGAAGCGUGAGUGACGGUAAUGGGUAAAGAAGCACCGGCUAACUACGUG
rnacentral:rRNA from 1 species